CGUUCCCGGGCCUUGUACACACCGCCCGUCAAGUCACGAAAGUUGGUAACACCCGAAGCCGGUGGCCCAACCCCUUGUGGGAGGGAGCUGUCGAAGGUGGGACUGGCGAUUGGGACU
rnacentral:rRNA from 1 species